AGAAAUUCCUAGCUGGUCCUCACCUCACAAAUCUUGCCCCUUCCCCAAUGCUCAAAAUGGCUUAUUUUCCACAUAGCACCCUAAGAUAUCUAAGAGAUCUUUUCAAAUAAGUCAUAAUGGGAUUAUGACACAUUCCUGCUUCAACCUUCCAAUUGUUCUCAUUGCAUGAGAACAAAACCCGAACCUACAAGGCCCUGCAUGAGCUGACCUCUCACUGCCUCUCCAUCUCUCCCUUGCCCCAUUCACCCUUCCCUCACCUCCAGACAAUGGCAUGGUGGCCUGUCAGCUUCCCAGAGGCUCUGGCCUCUUCACUGCCUUAGGGUGCAUGUUUUGCCCACCUAGAAACCGAUGCCCCCACUUCCCUCCAGCUUUUUUUCUUUUUGCCUAAUUCUUACUCAUUCGACAAGUCUCAGCUCAAAUAUUACAUCCUUAAAGAAGCUUCUGUGUUAGCCUGGGUUCUCCAGAAAGUGAAGCCCAGGCAAAGGGUUGCUCGUCUGUUAUUUUAAUAGCAGGAGGGAGGACCAGGAAGGGAGGGGAGCAUGGAAGGAGGAAAGGCAAAUGUGAGGAUGUUCUGGGCAUCUCCAAAUGCAACUGGCUGCUUGAUCUGCAGGACCACAUCCCCAGGAAAUCAAAUAGACUUGGGACCAUCCUUCAGAAGCAAGCAAAGAGGAGAUACUGUCUCUGGCUCCUAUCUCUCAAUGCUCAAAGGUUCACCCAUGGGAUGUCAACUCUCCGGCAUUUCUAGGCUGUGCGUGUGUGAGCGUGAGCACUGAGAAGGCCUCCUGGUAUCAUUAACAGGGCAGCUCCAGAGCAGGAAGGCAGAGAUGUGAGAUACAGAUGGUGAGCGAUAGGCUAUCAGGUCGUACUUGCAUGAAAUCACCACCACCACGCAGAGCUGGAACAGGAGACAAAAGAAGCUGGGAAGAUCAAAGUGGAGUAUAAAAACUGGCUGAGAAAUUCUUCCUGAUCCUCCCAACUCCAUCCAGGUCAUCCUGUGACUUCAUUCAUUGGACAGGGGAAGGAGCGAUGGAGUGACAUCCACAGAAAUGCCAUGCGGGCCUCCGAGAAGAGAAUUGAGAAAAGUGGGGACAACCCUCCGACUUUUGGGGCACUGUAAAAUGCCAACCACUCAGGAGCUACGGAUUGGCUCAAAUCUAUUAUUUGAGACUGUGAUGGCCAAAGAACCUGUUUCAUUAAAUGCAAUGACCUGAAUUCCAAAGCCACCCGCCCCCAACCUUGUCAUUAUUGGCCUUUUGUCCCUCCAAAAGAAGAAUGGAAAAGGAGGAGGUCUGAGUUUUGAGAAAGGCUGAGGGACCGCCCCAGGAAGGGAUGUGAAAGAGGACCUCACUCAAAUAGGGCCGGAUGAACUUCUAUGGGUUUUUGGCCCCACACUGACUUUCUUUGUUUUUCAGCUUUUAAUGAAAUUCAGUCGAGCCAGUUGUGCAUGCCGAUGCUGCCCAGAAAGGAUGGCAGUGUUAGACAUUAGAUUUGGUUUAUUCAUUACCAAAGUUUGCAGAGUAUCUUUUUCACUAAAACCUGAUUUAGCUCCUUCCUAUCAAGGCCCGUCAGUUUAAAUCUCAUGAUGUAAUCCAGGAGACGGACAAAUUGUUUCCAACUGGAGGAAAAAAAACUGAAUUUACAGCAGUCAAGCUCAGCGCUUGUGGCCACUAUUUACUGGUUGCUGAUGUGAAGUGAUAAAGUGUUUUCACUCUGAAGUUCAAAGAAAUCAGCAUGUAAUUGGCACAUGAAUUUUCAUAAUUGUCCUGGAUCUAAACGAAUCCAGGAAAACAAGAACUGUACAUUACAUUCUAUAAUGUACAAUGUUCUCUACAUCAG
rnacentral:lncRNA from 1 species